UCUGAACUUGUACUGAGGAGAACAUACCUCAAUUAUUGGAGAACAGAAUUAAACUUUCAGAGACUCAAAGUUCUACUGAACACAGAGCAGGAGGAUUUACACCCUCACAGUGGAGCUACUGAGGAAGAGGUUUGUCAUGGUGCCAGCUCAGCUUCUCUGGAUUAUCAUACCAUGCACCUGUCUCAGUGUUUCUCAGUCUGCUCUCCAUCAGAUGACCCACACUUUUACUCUAUCCCAGCUUCACCACACCAGACCAGACUGUAGAGCUCUGAGGUCAGUGUCAUUCUGUAGUGAUGGCCAGUGUCAGCCUGUGCAGGUCUAAAGUGUUUUACUCUCUGGGGGAAAGUGAACAGUUUUUAAAAGUGCCGCUAUCUGACCCUGAGAUAAACAGCAGUGUUCUGGAGCUGAUGUGUUUUGUCUUGUGUACCAUACUCUAUCUUCUGAAUUAUGAGGUUAUAAUGUGCUCAGAAUAUGAAUAUUGCUUUGUGCACUACAAGCACGUUUAACAUUCCUUCACAUUUCACUGAUGUCAAUAAGUAACGUGAAGGUAAACUUAAACAACGGCAAUAUUCCAACAGCAGCUUCUCAAACUGCAGCCUAAAACUGCAAAGACCUCUAAACUACCACACUGGACAGAGCUGGAAUGUGUGGGGUGUUUUGGUGAGGUCAGUCUCAUAAUGUCAGUUCAGUGUGAUAUUGUAGCAGUGCUCCUGUUUUUAACAUUGUCUUCCUGAUCAGACACUCCUACCUAAAGAUCCCCAGUAAUGCAGUUUUACACACCUGCUGUACUGAGUCAUAAUUUAGCAUGCAGAUAAAAUAAAAACAGCACGGAGACAGCGGAGUGUAUCGAUGUGUGAUGUUCAGAGAGGAGCAGGAGCUCAAACUAGCAGAGCUUCAGCUCUCAGUGGAAGCUACUGAAUAAAUAUACACUGAUAAUAUUUAACACACAUCAUGUCUGAAGAGGUACAUCCUGCACAGUAUAUAGCCUCUCUCUCUCUCUCUCUCUCUCUCUCUCUCUCUCUCUCUCUCUCUCUUUGUCUCUCUAGCUCCUCCCUCUCUCAGUGCUGUGUUUGUUAGAACCGGUAAUGAGGUGGUUCUGCCAUGUUUUGGUCGAGUGGACUGGCUGGAUUCAGAGGCUGAAAGGGUUUAGUGGGACAGACAAAACUUAUCGAUUCUAGAUUGGACUCAUGGUUGUCUGUAUGUGGGUCCUCAGUUUAAAGGCAGAGUAUGACUGCCUAAAGAGAGAAUCCUGCAGGAUAACAUCUCUCUGGAGCUGAAGGACACUCACCAUGAAGACCAGGGAGUUUACAAGUGCUCAUUUGUGAAGAACAAAGCCUUCAGACUCACUGCACAGAUUAAUCUCACUGUUACAGGUAAACAUGCUCACCUACAGGAAUGAGGGACUCAGAUCACAGGAGGGGAAGUGUUCCCAUCAUGCAAAUCAAUCAAAGGGACUUUAUUCCCUCUUAGAUUCUGUGCAUUCCACUUCAGAUUUGGAGAUGAACGUGAAAUAAAAUUAAAAUGAAAUAAUCUUACAAAAACACUUUUUUAUUUGGCAGCAUGUUAAUAUAAGAUUCACUUCACACAUAACAGGAAAAGUAGCACUGCUGAUGCUCUGGGUAGGUCAUAUGAUGACAUACUGUCAUUAUUAGUUUAUUCUGUUUUUCUCUCAAAACAUCAGUCCUCUGUUUGUCUGUUUAUUAGAUCUCAUGACACAGUUGGAGGCAGGGUUUGGUUCCAGUUUGCUCCUCCCCUGUAUCUCCAGUGAUUGUGAGCUUCCUGCCUGAUGGAGGGGACAGUUCUGUACGAGUGUGUGAGGUGGAGAAAGAGCAGGUGGAGUGUGGAGCAGCUUAUUCACACCGUAUAGAUCUACAGCAGCACUCCCUGGAGCUGACCAAGCUGUCUGUUGUGUUGUCAAUAAACAGUCCUUUACUUUAGUUUUUAUGCUUACUUUAUUAACACAUGUUCUGUCUUUGUUCUAGCUGCCAUGUCUGUCUCGUUCUCGUUCUCGCGAUAGCUCAUUAACAUCAACUAUACUACAUUUUCCAUGGAGGAUUCUGGAACAUUCUCAGUGAUGGAGAGAGAAACACGGCACACUGUCAGUGUUCUCUUCAUACAGGUGUUGCCUCCAUCUAGAGGUCCACCUGAGGAGGAUGAACGUGGAGGAAAGACGAUCAUAAUCAUCACUGUUAUAGCUGUCGUUAUAGUCGUGGUGAUCGCGGUGAUCGUGGUGAUUGAUCUGAGACGGUGGAGGCAGAGACAACUCAACAGAGCCGAAAUACAGGAAGCUGAAGUCCAUCUCUGAGAACAGCAGCUGUUCAGUGUGACUGACUCUGACACAUUAAUAUGAAAAUGUUAUGUUUGUAACUGCUUUUCAUCAUCAUCAUCAUCGCACUGCAGCUCUGACAAAAUUAGGGUGUAUUUGCAACUCAGUUUGCUGUGAGUUGGACGUCAGGAGGCCAGUUCUCUGUGUAGAGUUACACUCUCGUCUUCUGAUCAGAACAGAAAAGAAAAUCCCUCCUUAGCAUCUUCACAUCUUCACGCCUGAUGAAUCUUCUGUGAUAUUUUCUUAAUCUGGUGAAAUCAAUCAUUUAAAAAUAUUUAGUUUGGCAUGAUCAUGUAAUGCAUGUUCACUGUUUUGAUUGGCUGUAGGUGAUCUGCAGGACACUUCACGUUGUGCAACUUAGUUUCAUUAAGUUUCACUGAGUGGAGCCAGUAUUUUUAGUCUUUUGCCAGUGUAGAGGUUUUGGUAAGAGCAGGUGGUUCCAACGCUUAAACUAUGUGAGAUGAGGUGUUACAGUUAUGUAACGUCUAGAAACACAGUGACUAAUGUUGGUUUUUAUACAUUAAAUAAGUUUUUCUCCCUUGCUGUGACAGCAAGAAUGAAGUGAAGGUUAUUUUCCUGUAAUGUCCAUUAGCAGCAGCUGAAACACUGACAGCAGAAUGAACUGAACUGUGAGUUAAAUACUGUAAUUCAGCACUGCCGGAAGAAAAGCUUACAUAUCUAUUGCAGCUGUUUUUCUUUUUUUUUUCUUCAAAAUGUCAGUCUCUGUUUACACUGUGUUAAAAUUUCAUGACAUAGACAAAGAACUUCAAAUGAAAUCUUGGUACAGUUGCACUAAAAGGUAAAAACAUUUUUCUUCUGCUGUAAAGUUACUCUCAGACAGUGAGACGUGUUUGUGUUAUCGACUUCUUCACUUUAUUUAAAGCAGUUUUUAUUUUUGUGAUUAUGUACUGUAAAUUUCAGGAACAGUGUUUACCCUGAUUUGUUUCCAUUUUUUGAGCCACAGAAAAGAGAUAAUGUUAUUAUUUGUAAAAAUGCCCUGAUAUAAGAGCUCAGAGCUGAAAUCGACCUCUGAUACUUUAUUUUUUAAAAUGAUCAGAUAUGAGGGAAAUAUUGUUCAAUUACAAACAUCUUGAACUGUGUUUGUUUUUAUCUUCUCUCUGUUACAUUUUCGUAUUUAGCAGUAUUAUAUGAAGCACAUACACACUCGCUGCUGUAUGUGUGUAAUUUUAUUAGCGUUUCUCUCUGGACGGACAAUCAACGCUUUGAUCUCCUGAGUUCAUGUAUAUAUAUGAAUAUACGAAUAAACUGUAAAUAAACUUUA